CCUGAAGUUAGUGAAUCUGGAAGUGCUUUGACUCUGGAAGUGCUUUAGCGGUUUAUGCUCUCUCCGUGGUUAAACAUGUUCUACUAACAAAAAAGUAUGGUGCAAACAUUACUGUAGUUGAAAUUGAUGAUAAGCCAAAGGAAUCAUUCCCGAGCAUGAUACUCAAAUGUGAAGCAUUAGAUGGGACCUUUCUAAAGGUUAGAACCAUUUCAAUACAAUGACUACGUAGUCAAGUGGGGUACAAAUAUGAAUCAGUCCAUGCAAAAUCAAAUUGGCUAUUAGUUACAGGUGGAGAGAAGCAGAGCCCCUGCUGCCGACGUUGCCUCCU